UCCCCGCGCCCGGCGCCGCAGGCCAGCGUUGCCCGCCAGGUGUGGGGCGAGUGUCCCCGCUGCGCUCACUGCGCCCCUGAAUCUCUCCUUCCGGCCCUGCUCCGCUGCCUCCUCCUCCAGGAAGCCUUCCUGGAAGCCGACCAGGCCUGCGGGGAAUCUGACGUUUGCGAGGCCUCCGGCGGGGCAGAGACAGCCCGCCCUCUGGAUUCUGUGAAGAGCGAGCCGGAGAGCAGCCCGGGAGCGCGCGGAGCGCUCCGCCGCCUUCGCGCAAUUUCCAUCGUAAUUAAGAACUGCGUCUCCUUUGCGUCGGCAGCUCAGGACUCCAGUCUUGAGGACGUGGACCCUAACCACACAGUCAGUAAGUGCAUCUACGGAAUUUUCCUUUCCAUAAAAAUUUCACAAACAGACACGAUAAUGACUGCUAAACACGAGUCAUGCACAGUUUACUGAUAACAGAAGCAAUUUACAAUCAGGGGACAUGGCACACACGUCAGCCUCCUUCCUGAUGGUUUCUUUAAACGUUAUAUGAAAACCAGACAUUUACUCUUCAUUUCUUCUUCAACACUCUACAGUUUCAAAAGAAAAAAACAAAAACCAAACUAAACCAAAUCUGAGAUGUAACAACGGCCAGAGGAUGGCGCGGCUGCACAGGUCGGGGUGCCUGCACGCGUAUAUACCUGUGUGUGCUUUCAGCGACGUGUUCUGACAUGGGGCUCAGCUUCCCUCGUCUUGAAGAGAACAGUGACGAUGCAAAACGCACGGAGAGAAACCUCUAGAAUUACUUUGUUCACAAGUGAAUUGCACAUUUGGAAAUUCAAGCUGCCUUUUCAUUAUAUUUUCUUUCAUUUUUUUUUCCAAAAGUGGUAAUUUGAAUCAGUGACAGAAAAGAAUAAAACAAAAAAACUGGAAUGGAGGAGAAAAGGAACGCUCCUUGGAAUAUCACAAGAAUGUCUUAGUCACAGUAUCGCUCAUUGCUACAGAGACACAGUUUCAUGGCUUUGAUACCCGGCUGACCUCCACUGACCAGGAGCAGCUGUGUCCUCACGUCCCCAGCCGGGAGGGGAGCGAGGUGCCGGGCUCCCCGUCUGUCCCCGGGCAGCAGUGCAGGGGCGCGCUCUCCCGGCCUGGCGCUGCCCCUCGCCCCUCCCCCAGGACAGCACAGUGAAUACAGCUCAGUAGAUUUCAGUCACAUGGGUGAGGAGAAGGGGACGGGGGCAGGGGGGUCCACAAUCCAGUGCUUCGAGGCUUCGAGGCUAACACGGGUGAUAUGUAUUCGGGCGAGUGCUUUGCGAAUGCUCACUGAGGAAGCAGCUAGGACAGAGCAGGCCAAGGGUCCUCAGAGUUUCCAGGGCCAAGCUCUGGGGCCACAGAGGGGCUGGGCCAGUCAGGGUCUGGACUGACCAGCUGCACUCUUGGCCUUGUACAAGAGGGCCACGUGGGCUGGGUGGUCUCUCAGGUCGAUCCACACCCCAGGGUCCCAGGCAGGCUGCAGGAACGCGAGUCCCCGUGUUCCCAUUGGGGAGCUCUGAGUCCCACUCAUGAAAGGUCUGGCUGGCCAAAGGAUCAGCAGCCCUGUGUGUCCUACCCGAUCGUCCUGGGAAUGAGAGCACAGUGGGGGAGGGCCACUGGGGACUGGGGGCUGAGGGUGGCAGAGGGAAGGGCCUCCUUCUGAAUUGCCAUUUGGGGCUGAGUGUCAAUGGUCCAAAAAAGGGAGGCAGUUAAGGCUGGACUGAAGGACCCUGGCCCUGGGCAAAGCUGGCCCAGUAGGACCUGGGUUUACAGCCUCGACCCUAGCCACGUGCCCAUGGACACGGUGGUCAGCCAGCCAGCUGCCCUGUUGCAUCCGUGCUCCGAGGCUGGGAUCUCAGAAUUCUCAUGCCCAUCCCAGGCUCCUUGGCCCCCAGGGGGUCUCUGAGCACGUGGUGGCAUCUGCAUCAAGGAUGCUGGACCUGUGUGAGCUGGGAGCUGCCCCCCAGGUGCUGGAGCCCGGGGCAGAGAGGAAGCAGGGAGGGCAGCUUGCUGUGGUCUGGGGCAAUGACAAGCUUUGAGGCCAAGUUUCAUGGAUGCACCAGGCACAGGAAAUAAGUGCUCUCUUUGUCAGGGGGUCCAAGGGCAGAGCCCCCUCCCCCAGACUUGGCAAGUGCUCCGGCCCGCGGGGCUGAACAUUCAGGAGAAAUUGGGCUUGCUCUAGUCAUUUUCUGGGGGACAAAAAUAUAGGACUAAAAUGUGCAACUGAGGCUCAUAGGGGACGAGGGGAAAAGAAGGAAUGAGAAGAGAGAACGCUUGGGAAGACUGGCCGAAAAUGACGGGACGUGGCAGUCAACAGAGAAAUCCAGGAUGGACAGGAAGGG